rnacentral:sRNA from 1 species
AAUCUAAAUCAGCGAGUAAAAUCACUGACAUGAUGAAGAAGUCGGAUAAGGCAUAAAAAACCCAGCAUAGGGUUGCCUUAUCCGCCACAUCGGGAAACUGGUGUGAGAGACUUCGGUCUCU